GAUGAACGCUGGCGGCGUGCCUAAUACAUGCAAGUCGAGCGAACAGAUGAGGAGCUUGCUCCUCUGACGUUAGCGGCGGACGGGUGAGUAACACGUGGAUAACCUACCUAUAAGACUGGGAUAACUUCGGGAAACCGGAGCUAAUACCGGAUAAUAUAUUGAACCGCAUGGUUCAAUAGUGAAAGACGGUUUUGCUGUCACUUAUAGAUGGAUCCGCGCCGCAUUAGCUAGUUGGUAAGGUAACGGCUUACCAAGGCAACGAUGCGUAGCCGACCUGAGAGGGUGAUCGGCCACACUGGAACUGAGACACGGUCCAGACUCCUACGGGAGGCAGCAGUAGGGAAUCUUCCGCAAUGGGCGAAAGCCUGACGGAGCAACGCCGCGUGAGUGAUGAAGGUCUUCGGAUCGUAAAACUCUGUUAUUGGGGAAGAACAAAUGUGUAAGUAACUAUGCACGUCUUGUCGGUACCUAAUCAGAAAGCCACGGCUAACUACGUG
rnacentral:rRNA from 1 species